rnacentral:rRNA from 1 species
CGCCCACUAGCUAGCUCACUCAAAAUCAUAACAUAUAAAUAUGAAUAUACAAGCAUAAAAAGUACCAAACAAACCAUUUUUCCACUUUAGUAUAGGUGAUAGAAAAAGACAUUAGACGCAAUAGAGACAGUACCGCAAGGGAACGCUGAAAGAGAAAUGAAACAACUCAGUAAAGCACAAUAAAGCAGAGUUUCCCCCUCGUACCUUUUGCAUCAUGUUUUAGCUAGAGCCCUUCAAGCAAAAAGAAUUAUAGUUUGACAACCCGAAACUAAGGGAGCUACUCCAAGACAGCCUAAUAAAUAGGGCGAACCCGUCUCUGUGGCAAUAGAGUGGGAAGAGCUUUGAGUAGAGGUGACAGACCUAUCGAACUUAGUUAUAGCUGGUUACCUGAAAAUUGAAUAGAAGUUCAGCCUUUUAAAUUCUUCCCUCAGCUUGAUUAUUUUUCUAAAUGAGACAUCAAGAAAUUAAAAGAGUUAGUCAAAGGGGGUCCAGCCCCUUUGAAAAAAGAAACAACUUUUAUGGGUGGAUAAAGAUCAAAUUAACAAAGGUAAAGAAUUGAAGUGGGCUUAAAAGCAGCCAUCCUAAAAAAAAGCGUUAAAGCUUGAACAUUAUAUUUUAACCCCUAAUCCCGAUUUUCAUCUCUAACUCCCCCUCCCACUAUCAGGUUUUCCCAUUACUAUGGAAGUAAUAAUGCUAAUAUGAGUAAUAAGAGAGCAAGACUCUCUCCACGCCCAAGUGUAACCCGGAACGGACACUCCACCGGCCAUUAACGGUCCCCUAACCCGAGGGAAGUGGGUCAAAAAUAGAGAACCAGAAAACCACCAAUAAUCCCCCGUUAACCCUACACUGGUGCGCCCCUGUGGAAAGACUAAAAGAAAAAGAAGGAACUCGGCAAAUAUUGUAGGCCUCGCCUGUUUACCAAAAACAUCGCCUCUUGUUAACCAAAUAUAAGAGGUCCCGCCUGCCCUGUGACUAUACGUUUAACGGCCGCGGUAUCUUGCCCGUGCGAAGGUAGCGCAAUCACUUGUCUUUUAAAUCAAGACCUGUAUGAAUGGCACAACGAGGGCCCAACUGUCUCCUUUUUCUAGUCAAUGAAAUUGAUCUCCCCGUGCAGAAGCGGGGAUACUCCCAUAAGACGAGAAGACCCUGUGGAGCUUUAGACGAGAGCAGCUCAUCCUCUACUACUCUGAUUAAAGAACAAGAAUAACAUGAAUCCUGCCCUAAUGUCUUUGGUUGGGGCGACCGCGGGGCACCAAAAACCCCCCACGUGGAAUAGAAGAAUUCUUCCACAACCAAGAGCGACAGCUCUAAGUAACAGAACUUCUGACCCUCAAGAUCCGGUUUUACCGAUCAACGAAACAAGUUACCCCAGGGAUAACAGCGCAAUCCUCUUCUAGAGACCCUAUCAACAAGAGGGUUUACGACCUCGAUGUUGGAUCAGGACAUCCUAAUGGUGCAGCCGCUAUUAAGGGUUCGUUUGUUCAACGAUUAAAGUCCUACGUGAUCUGAGUUCAGACCGGAGUAAUCCAGGUCAGUUUCUAUCUAUGCUAUGAUUUCUUCUAGUACGAAAGGACCGAAGAGAAAAGGGCCCCUGCUCAAAGCACGCCCUCUCCUUAUCUAAUGAACACAACUAAAUAAGACAAAAGGGCAUACCCCCUCCUGUCUUAGAGAAAGACAU